CCUACGGGCGGCAGCAGUGGGGAAUAUUGCACAAUGGGGGAAACCCUGAUGCAGCGACGCCGCGUGAGUGAAGAAGUAUUUCGGUAUGUAAAGCUCUAUCAGCAGGGAAGAAAAUGACGGUACCCGAUUAAGAAGCCCCGGCUAACUACGUGCCAGCAGGCGCGGUACUACGUAGGGGGCAAGCGUUAUCCGGAUUUACUGGGUGUAAAGGGAGCGUAGACGGCAGCACAAGUCUGGAGUGAAAUGCCGGGGCUUAACCCCGGAACUGCUUUGGAAACUGUGCAGCUAGAGUGCAGGAGAGGUAAGUGGAAUGCCUGGUGUAGCGGUGAAAUGCGUAGAUAUUAGGAGGAACACCAGUGGCGAAGGCAGCUUACUGGACUGUAACUGACGUUGAGGCUCGAAAGCGUGGGGAGCAAACAGGAUUAGAUACCCCUGUAGUC
rnacentral:rRNA from 1 species